AGCAGUCGCCGCGGGAAUUCGAAGGGUGCAAGCGUUACUCGGAAUUACUGGGCGUAAAGCGUGCGUAGGUGGUGGUUUAAGUCCGUUGUGAAAGCCCUGGGCUCAACCUGGGAAUUGCAGUGGAUACUGGGUCACUAGAGUGUGGUAGAGGAUAGUGGAAUUCCCGGUGUAGCAGUGAAAUGCGUAGAGAUCGGAAGGAACAUCUGUGGCGAAGGCGACUAUCUGGGCCAACACUGACACUGAGGCACGAAAGCGUGGGGAGCAAACAGGAUUAGAUACCCCUGUAGUCCCUGUCUCUUAUAC
rnacentral:rRNA from 1 species